AUGGAUACGAGUGUUAUUAAAAUAUAUCUGCAAGUAGAUGCCUGAUAUGGCCACAAGCCGAGACAUAGUAACUGGAUCCGAUUAAGUGUGUAUUCGAUCGGCGCAAGCGCAGUUGCAAAUUCGCUUUCACGUAUUUUCAACGUUUCUUCAUUCUUAUUCGAGACACGAGACGGUGCAAACGGUCUUUCCUUGCAAUGUGCAUACUGAGACAGUUUGGACACUUUACAUUAAAUAUGAAUUGAGUAUGAAGUAAAUAGAAACAAAUACUACAUUCUUAAAAUUAUUGGAAGUGCCAUAUAUCUGGUAAAUAUUAUAUCAUAAAUAAUUGUGUGUAAAUUAUUUUCUCUUGACACUGUUAAUUAAUAAAUCGGUCGUUAAUGCAUAUAUUCGUUUGCAAUGCGUUUGCAUUUGUCGGUUGUGUGUAUAUUCUUCUAUUAAUUAUGGAUUAAGUUUUAUUUUGCUAUAAUUUCAUAAUUAGCUCUUUUAUAUAUGAUACAUAAUGAUAAAAUGAUAGUAAUUGUUUUUGUAUUAUUAUAAUCACAUGCCAUAGAUAUAUUACAAUUAUUUGCAUGAUAUAAUAAAGUUCUAUAUGAUCAACUA